rnacentral:rRNA from 1 species
UACGUAGGGGGCAAGCGUUGUCCGGAUUUAUUGGGCGUAAAGAGCGUGUAGGCGGCCAGACAGGUCAGCUGUGAAAACUCGAGGCUCAACCUCGAGACGUCGGUUGAAACCGUCUGGCUAGAGUCCGGAAGAGGAGAGUGGAAUUCCCGGUGUAGCGGUGAAACGCGCAGAUAUCGGGAAGAACACCCGUGGCGAAGGCGGCUCUCUGGGACGGUACUGACGCUGAGACGCGAAAGCGUGGGGAGCGAACAGG